rnacentral:rRNA from 1 species
GACGAACGCUGGCGGCGUGCUUAACACAUGCAAGUCGAACGGAAAGGCCCUGCUUUUGUGGGGUGCUCGAGUGGCGAACGGGUGAGUAACACGUGAGUAACCUGCCCUUGACUUUGGGAUAACUUCAGGAAACUGGGGCUAAUACCGGAUAGGAGCUCCCGCUGCAUGGUGGGGGUUGGAAAGUUUCGGCGGUUGGGGAUGGACUCGCGGCUUAUCAGCUUGUUGGUGGGGUAGUGGCUUACCAAGGCUUUGACGGGUAGCCGGCCUGAGAGGGUGACCGGCCACAUUGGGACUGAGAUACGGCCCAGACUCCUACGGGAGGCAGCAGUGGGGAAUAUUGCACAAUGGGCGGAAGCCUGAUGCAGCAACGCCGCGUGCGGGAUGACGGCCUUCGGGUUGUAAACCGCUGUCGCCUGUGACGAAGCGGGAGUGACGGUAAUGGGUAAAGAAGCACCGGCUAACUACGUG